rnacentral:misc_RNA from 1 species
GAUUAAGAACGUAGCGAAAUGCGAUAAGUAAUGUGAAUUGCAGAAUUCAGUGAAUCAUCGAGUCUUUGAACGCACAUUGCGCCCCCUGGUAUUCCGGGGGGCAUGCCUGUCCGAGCGUCAUUGCUGCCCUCAAGCACGGCUUGUGUGUUGGGCCGUCGUCCCCCUCCUAGGGGACGGGCCCGAAAGGCAGCGGCGGCACCGCGUCCGGUCCUCGAGCGUAUGGGGCUUCGUCACCCGCUCCGUAGGCCCGGCCGGCGCUCGCCGACGACCAUCAAUCUCUUUCUCCAGGUUGACCUCGGAUCAGGUAGGGAUACCCGCUGAACUUAAGCAUAUCAAUAAGCGGAGGA